GUCUUGUUUGAUGUCGGUCCCCCCGCCCUCCCAGCCUUUCCCUAGGCUUGGAGGCCACCGGAGGCCUGGCACACAUUUCUCAGACACUUCAUUCCUUCCUUCCUCCGAGCUCCCCACUGAGAUAAUGUUGUAAAUGAUUUCACCAGAUCUCGGAUGAGAUUCAGUGGUUCCUGACUCUGAGUGACCCUGGGCGAGCCCCUCUCUUUCUUUCAUUAUGGAACGCACGCUCUGUGCCAGACAGUGUGUUAAACCCUGGGAUUAUCACGAUGAGAGAUACAGUGGCAGCCUGCAAGGAGUUUACAGUCAACUCUGGAAGCAGACAGACCCUGAGUUUUUGAUUGAUGACCGGGCAUUCCUCUAUUAUUCCUUUCUCUUAGGGCUUAGAUGACGGCCUGAAAGAGCAAGAGAACCUCAAAGAAACACUAAACCACACCUGUAUGGGCAAUACUAUUGCUAGUCUACAGGGGAUACAGGGAUGAAAAAAAUAGUUAUUGCCCUCAGGAAACCUUCAGCUUACAGAUACUUUACUGGUUGUUACAAAACAAAAAAGACGCUUUUGGCAUCUUCUGCUAAACCAUUAAUGAUGACUCCAUCCAUUGGACUACUCAAGGUCCCUUUUAUCAAGACACAUUCCUCUUUAACUUCAGCCAUAUUUCCAUUUUUUAUCAAAUAAUGAUACCUUGGCUAUCAAGAAGCUCAGAGUUCACAUUCGUGUUUGCUGGAAGUAAGGACUCUAAAACCUUCUCUCCUCCUCUUUCAGAUGAUUGGGAAUAGGCUCCAGGACCACUAGCCAAAUGCACAUCAGAGUAUUAGCUUAAUUGAUGAUGAGGAGGAGAGAGAUGGGAAAGUUCCACCCAACCCUCCCAACUAGAAGGCUGGGGAGUACAUAUUUUUCCUCUACAAAAAGGUGAAGAAGAGAAAAUGCGGAUUAUCCCCAAGGGUACUUAACUGCAGUAGCCGGCUUAACCUGGAUGUCUACUAUAAUUGUCCUUUUCCUCCUGCAGUGAUGUUUCUGAUUUUUCUCUCCGUUUGUAUCUUGAGCUUUGCUGUUAUAAAUGUAUUUAUAUUUUAAUCGUAAGCAACCUGAAUUUUUGUAUCAUAUUAUACACAAGUAAAUAGUCAUAAUCUUGGAGUUCUAAGGCUAUGUGCAAGACACAAUGAACAAAUCAAGACAUGGGAUGAGUGAGGCCUAAGA